rnacentral:rRNA from 1 species
CUGGGCUAGACAACGGCGGACCGUCCUAGAAAUAGGACUUUCCUUUCGGGGACCGCCGGUUCAGGUGCUGCAUGGCUGUCGUCAGCUCGUGCCGUGAGGUGUUGGGUUAAGUCCCGCAACGAGCGCAACCCUCGUCCUUAGUUGCCACCAUUCAGUUGGGCACUCUAGGGGGACUGCCGGCGUUAAGCCGGAGGAAGGUGGGGACGACGUCAAGUCAUCAUGGCCCUUAUGUCCAGGGCCACACACGUGCAACAAUGGGCGGUACAAAGGGUCGCAAACCCGCGAGGGGGGGCCAAUCCCAAAAAGCCGCUCUCAGUUCGGAUUGGAGGCUGCAACUCGCCUCCAUGAAGCCGGAAUCGCUAGUAAUCGUGGAUCAGCAU